CAAUAGCGUAUAUUAAAGUUGUUGCAGUUAAAAAGCUCGUAGUUGGAUUUCUGGUGGGAGCGAUCGGUCUGGCGCUUAGCGCGAGUACUUGCAUCGUCUCCGGCCAUCCUUGGGGAGAGUCUGUCUGGCAUUAGGUUGUCGGGCAGAGGAUCCUCAUCGUUUACUGUGAAAAAAUUAGAGUGUUCAAAGCAGGCUUAUGCCGUUGAAUAUAUUAGCAUGGAAUAAUAAGAUAGGACUUUGGUACUAUUUUGUUGGUUUGCGCACCAAAGUAAUGAUUAAUAGGGACAGUUGGGGGUAUUCGUAUUCCGUUGUCAGAGGUGAAAUUCUUGGAUUUACGGAAGACGAACUACUGCGAAAACAUUUACCAAGGAUGUUUUCAUUAA
rnacentral:rRNA from 1 species